GAAAUUUGCUUAAUGAUUUUGUCUGAUUCCAGGAGAAGGGAAUACAAAAAGAGCCAUUGCACAGUAUCAAAGAAGCAAAAAAGCUAAACUGCAUAGCGCCAAUAGAGCACAAGGUCAAAGAGACCAAACCAGUUCUAUGUGGAUUGAUGACAUUCUACACAAAGAGCUCAAGGACUUAAUCAUGUGUGAGACUCGAGGUUGCAGUUUUUUAACAUGUAUUAAAUGCAGGUCUUCCUUGCACCACACACUCUAUAUAAAAUACAUGACAUCAAUUAUUCUGGCUUCAUCAUGGCUCCCAUUUUCUCAUAUAAUCUAGUCCCUUUUCUCUCUCUUAUAGUAUGGCACCUUCCUGUGGUCUUGGCUGCAAACGGCUUCCUCAAUAUCUGGUGCCAUCUCAUCUUGGAAGAUGCCUCUGUGGCUCCUUUCUUACUCUGACCUUGGACUCUCAAUUCAUCAACAUUUCCAAUCCCCAGAACCUCAUGUCUAUUCUACCUCAACUGCAUAUAAGGUAAAAUGAUUUUCUUUAGAUUCUCUCAACCUCUU
rnacentral:lncRNA from 1 species